rnacentral:rRNA from 1 species
AUUGAACGCUGGCGGCAGGCCUAACACAUGCAAGUCGAGCGGAUGAAGGGAGCUUGCUCCUGGAUUCAGCGGCGGACGGGUGAGUAAUGCCUAGGAAUCUGCCUGGUAGUGGGGGAUAACGUCCGGAAACGGGCGCUAAUACCGCAUACGUCCUGAGGGAGAAAGUGGGGGAUCUUCGGACCUCACGCUAUCAGAUGAGCCUAGGUCGGAUUAGCUAGUUGGUGGGGUAAAGGCCUACCAAGGCGACGGUCCGUAACUGGUCUGAGAGGAUGAUCAGUCACACUGGAAUUGAGACACGGUCCAGACUCCUACGGGAGGCAGCAGUGGGGAAUAUUGGACAAUGGGCGAAAGCCUGAUCCAGCCAUGCCGCGUGUGUGAAGAAGGUCUUCGGAUUGUAAAGCACUUUAAGUUGGGAGGAAGGGCAGUAAGUUAAUACCUUGCUGUUUUGACGUUACCAACAGAAUAAGCACCGGCUAACUUCGUG